rnacentral:rRNA from 1 species
UACGUAGGUGGCAAGCGUUUGUCCGGAAUUAUUGGGCGUAAAGCGCGCGCAGGCGGUCCUUUAAGUCUGAUGUGAAAGCCCACGGCUCAACCGUGGAGGGUCAUUGGAAACUGGGGGACUUGAGUGCAGAAGAGGAAAGUGGAAUUCCACGUGUAGCGGUGAAAUGCGUAGAGAUGUGGAGGAACACCAGUGGCGAAGGCGACUUUCUGGUCUGUAACUGACGCUGAGGCGCGAAAGCGUGGGGAGCAAACAGG